CCUACGGGUGGCAGCAGUGGGGAAUAUUGGACAAUGGGGGGAACCCUGAUCCAGCCAUGCCGCGUGUGUGAAGAAGGCCCUCGGGUUGUAAAGCACUUUCAGUGAGGAAGAACGCCUGGUGGUUAAUACCCAUCAGGAAAGACAUCACUCACAGAAGAAGCACCGGCUAACUCCGUGCCAGCAGCCGCGGUAAUACGGAGGGUGCGAGCGUUAAUCGGAAUUACUGGGCGUAAAGCGCGCGUAGGUGGCUUGAUAAGCCGGUUGUGAAAGCCCCGGGCUCAACCUGGGAACGGCAUCCGGAACUGUCAAGCUAGAGUGCAGGAGAGGAAGGUAGAAUUCCCGGUGUAGCGGUGAAAUGCGUAGAGAUCGGGAGGAAUACCAGUGGCGAAGGCGGCCUUCUGGACUGACACUGCCACUGAGGUGCGAAAGCGUGGGUAGCAAACAGGAUUAGCUACCCGUGUAGUA
rnacentral:rRNA from 1 species